rnacentral:hammerhead_ribozyme from 1 species
AGCCGAAACGCGAUCGGCGCGAGUCGACGCGUCGCGGCGGGAGGUCCCCGCCGCCUGAUGAUGGCAGCCAACC